GAUGAAGAACGCAGCGAAAUGCGAUACUUGGUGUGAAUUGCAGAAUCCCGUGAACCAUCGAGUCUUUGAACGCAAGUUGCGCCCGAAGCCAUUAGGCCGAGGGCACGCCUGCCUGGGUGUCACACACCGUUACCCUCGCGCCAACGUCCAUCGUUGGCCGCGGCGCGGGGCGUGCGCUGACCUCCCGCGAGCGGGGUCUCGUGGUUGGUUGAAAAUCGAGUUCGCGGUCGAGGGUGCCGCGAUGGAUGGUGGUUGAGUAAAAGCUCGAGACCGAUCGUGUGUGUCGCCCCUACCGGAUUUGGGACUCCAUGACCCACGAGCGGCCGUUGGCCGCCCACGACGGGACCUCAGGGCAGGCGGGGCUACCCGCUGAGUUUAAGCAUAUCAAUAAGCGGAGGA
rnacentral:misc_RNA from 1 species